UCAGUGAUUUCAUCGCCGAGAUUCAGAGAUUCAGAUCGGUCUCCACCAUCUGCACCAUCGUCUACAUCAUCAUCUACACCAUCGUCUCCUAAGUUAGCCCCAAUCCAAGAUUGAUCCAUAUGAGGUUAGGGCCCGUGCUAAACAGGUUGUGCAAGAUCAGCGCCGUCUGAAGGUCACUAUGUUGUAAUAUGUGGCUAUGAUGCUAUGACAGAUGAGUUUGAGAUUAGAGAUCCAGCGAGCUCUGGGAAACAUGAGAAGGUCACAUCAAAGCGCCUAGAAGAAGCUC